rnacentral:rRNA from 1 species
UACGGGGGGGAGCAAGCGUUGUUCGGAAUUACUGGGCGUAAAGAGCUCGUAGGCGGUCUGUCGCGUCGGAUGUGAAAACCCAGGGCUCAACUCUGGGCCUGCAUUCGAUACGGGCAGACUAGAGUACGGCAGGGGAGACUGGAAUUCCUGGUGUAGCGGUGAAAUGCGCAGAUAUCAGGAGGAACACCGGUGGCGAAGGCGGGUCUCUGGGCCGUAACUGACGCUGAGGAGCGAAAGCUGGGGAGCGAACGGG